rnacentral:rRNA from 1 species
CAAGUCGUGGGGCAGCAUGACUGUAGCAAUACAGUUGAUGGCGACCGGCAAACGGGUGCGGAACACGUACACAACCUUCCUUUAAGUGGGGAAUAGCCCGGGGAAACCCGGAUUAAUACCCCGCUAAUAUAAUGAAGUGGCAUCACUUUAUUAUUAUAGCUCCGGCGCUUGAAGAUGGGUGUGCGACUGAUUAGGCAGUUGGCGGGGUAACGGCCCACCAAACCUACGAUCAGUAACUGGUGUGAGAGCACGACCAGUCACACGGGCACUGAGACACGGGCCCGACUCCUACGGGAGGCAGCAGUAAGGAAUAUUGGUCAAUGGACGCAAGUCUGAACCAGCCAUGCCGCGUGGAGGAUGAAGGUCCUCUGGAUUGUAAACUUCUUUUAUCUGGGAAGAAACCCGCGAAUUCUUUUGUGGUUGACGGUACCAGAUGAAUAAGCACCGGCUAACUCCGUGCCAGCAGCCGCGGUAAUACGGAGGGUGCAAGCGUUAUCCGGAUUCACUGGGUUUAAAGGGUGCGUAGGUGGGCAGGUAAGUCAGUGGUGAAAUCUCUGGGCUUAACCCGGAAACUGCCAUUGAUACUAUCUGUCUUGAAUACCGUGGAGGUCAGCGGAAUAUGUCAUGUAGCGGUGAAAUGCUUAGAUAUGACAUAGAACACCAAUUGCGAAGGCAGCUGGCUACACGAAUAUUGACACUGAUGCACGAAAGCGUGGGGAUCAAACAGGAUUAGAUACCCUGGUAGUCCACGCCCUAAACGAUGGAUACUCGACAUACGCGAUAUACUGUGUGUGUCUGAGCGAAAGCAUUAAGUAUCCCACCUGGGAAGUACGAUCGCAAGAUUGAAACUCAAAGGAAUUGGGCGGGGGUCC